CCGCGGCCCAGGAAGGGAAGGCGGGCUUCUCCGCGAAGGGAAGGGAAGCCAGAGGCACCGGGGAGGCUGCUGCUGCGGCUGCUGCUGCCGGGGGAGUGGAGUGGGAGCGAGUGGGCCCAGGCUCUGAUCUCAUUUCGCGAGCCAGUCAGCGCCGAGCUGCCUUUCCCCCCCUCCCCUCCUCGACUCCCCGUCAGCUGAUCCAAGAGGAGAGCUUUCUUCCGCCUCAUUCACGCUUCCCUCAUUUCCCGAGUGGAUUUUUUUUUGUUAAAUACACACACCACAAAACACAAGAGCUUCUACCAAAACCCACUUCUCAGGCGCAGGGAACAACUCCCGCCGGCGAUUUUCUGGGUCAGCAAGAUUUGGGGAGGAUUUAUUCCAAAGGCUGCCCGCCGGAGCCUGAGAGACCCCGAAGCUCCAAAAAAGCCACGACCAGCCGCGUUUGCAACACUGGAUCGCAUCGCCUCAACUUUGGUUCCGACGCCUCCCUUCCUUUUCUCCAAGCCGGGAUGGCUUCCAAUUUUAAUGACAUAGUGAAGCAAGGGUAUGUAAAGAUUAGGAGCAGGCGCUUAGGCCUAUAUCAGAGAUGUUGGUUGGUCUUCAAGAAAGCGUCAAGCAAAGGACCUAAAAGGAUAGAAAAAUUUUCAGAUGAGCGCGCUGCCUACUUCAGAUGCUAUCACAAGGUACAAAGAGCUUGAUGACAUGUGGGCUUCUCCUGCAUUUUCUUGGUGAAAAUGUAAUUUUCUGUAUAUAACUUUCACAGCCAAUCUAGCCUAUGCUGUCAAUCUAGAUAAUAAUAUUUGUG
rnacentral:lncRNA from 11 species